rnacentral:miRNA from 14 species
UCUCUGUAUAGCCUUGUGUUGUCCUGAACUCACUCUAUAGACCAGGCUGGCCUUGAACUCAGAGAUUCACCUGCCUCUGCCUCCCAAGUGCUGGGAUUAAAGGCAUGUGCUACCAUGCCC